UACGAAGGGGGCUAGCGUUGUUCGGAUUUACUGGGCGUAAAGCGCACGUAGGCGGAUUGUUAAGUCGGGGGUGAAAUCCUGGAGCUCAACUCCAGAAUUGCCUUCGAUACUGGCUUUCUAGAGGCUGGAAGAGGUUAGUGGAAUUCCCAGUGUAGAGGUGAAAUUCGUAGAUAUUGGGAGGAACACCAGUGGCGAAGGCGGCUCACUGGCUCGGUACUGACGCUGAGGUGCGAAAGCGUGGGGAGCAAACAGG
rnacentral:rRNA from 1 species